rnacentral:rRNA from 1 species
CACGUAGGGCGCAAGCGUUGUCCGGAAUUAUUGGGCGUAAAGAGCUCGUAGGCGGUCUGUUGCGUCCGCUGUGAAAACUCGGGGCUUAACCCCGAGCCUGCAGUGGAUACGGGCAGACUAGAGGUAGGUAGGGGAGAAUGGAAUUCCCGGUGUAGCGGUGAAAUGCGCAGAUAUCUGGAGGAACACCGGUGGCGAAGGCGGCAUCCUGGACCAACACUGACACUGAGGAGCGAAAGCCAGGGGAACAAACGGG